UUAUACCAAGAUUGAAAGUUACAAAUCCGGAUGGACAGAGUUUCCUUCGUUCAAAAAGGUAUAUCAUCUAACCGAAAGUAUGUCAAUACUCCGGAUGUUUAGAUAACAUAACCUUUCAAAUCAGAAGAGAUAACCCACCAAAAAGGGCCUCGUUAAAACCCCUCAAGAGUAAAACCCCGUGGGAAAAAAACUCAAGAGGGAAAAAGAGUGCCU
rnacentral:lncRNA from 1 species